GGGGGGGGGGGGGGGGGGGGGGGGGGGGGGCGGGGGGGGGGGGGGGGGGGGGGGUGGGCCUGGGUGGAGCGGCGGGGGGGGGAGGAAGGCCUAGGAGUCUGCCUGGUAGUGGGGUAGCACGUCUGGGAACGGGAUCUUAUACCGCAGAGGUGCUGAGGUAGAAAGUUGGGGAUCUUCGGACCGCACUGUAUCAUAUCAGCCUAGCUCGGGUUAGCUUGGUGGUGGGGUAAAGUCCUACCGAGGCGUCGAUCCGUAGCUGAUCUGAGAGGAUGAUCAGUCACACUGGAACUGAGACACGGUCCAGACUCCUACGGGAGGCAGCAGUGGGGAAUAUUGGACAAUGGGCGAAAGCCUGAUCCAGCCAUGCCGCGUGUGUGAAGAAGGUCUUCGGAUUGUAAAGCACUUUAAGUUGGGAGGAACAACAGUAAGUUAAUACCUUGCUGUUUUGACGUUACCAACAGAAUAAGCACCGGCUCACUUCGUG
rnacentral:rRNA from 1 species